GUAGGGGCCAAGCGUUAUCCGGAUUUAUUGGGGCGUAAAGAGCUCGUAGGCGGCUUGGCAAGUCGGUCGUGAAAGUCCGGGGGCUCAACCUCGGGAAUGCCGGGUCGAAACUGCCAUGGCUAGGGUUCGGUAGAGGAGAGUGGAAUUCUCGGUGUAGCGGUGAAAUGCGCAGAUAUCGAGAGGAACACCAGUAGCGAAGGCGGCUCUCUGGGCCGAUACCGACGCUGAGGAGCGAAAGCGUGGGGAGCAAACAGGAUUAGAUACCCUGGUAGUCCACGCCGUAAACGGUGAUCACUAGGUGUGGCGGACUCAUUGACGUCUGCUGUGCCGGCGCUAACGCAUUAAGUGAUCCGCCUGGGGAGUACGGCCGCAAGGCUA
rnacentral:rRNA from 1 species